rnacentral:piRNA from 1 species
UUGAAACGGUCGAUUUUUCAA